ACAAGCGGUGGAUGAUGUGGAUUAAUUCGAUGCAACGCGAAAACCUUACCUACCCUUGACAUGUCUGGAACCUUGGUGAGAGCCGAGGGUGCCUUCGGGAGCCAGAACACAGGUGCUGCAUGGCUGUCGUCAGCUCGUGUCGUGAGAUGUUGGGUUAAGUCCCGCAACGAGCGCAACCCUUGUCACUAGUUGCCAUCAUUUGGUUGGGCACUCUAGUGAGACUGCCGGUGACAAACCGGAGGAAGGUGGGGAUGACGUCAAGUCCUCAUGGCCCUUAUGGGUAGGGCUUCACACGUCAUACAAUGGUCGGUACAGAGGGUUGCCAACCCGCGAGGGGGAGCUAAUCCCACAAAGCCGAUCGUAGUCCGGAUCGCAGUCUGCAACUCGACUGCGUGAAGUCGGAAUCGCUAGUAAUCGUGGAUCAGCAUGUCACGGUGAAUACGUUCCCGGGUCUU
rnacentral:rRNA from 1 species